rnacentral:rRNA from 1 species
AUUGAACGCUGGCGGCAUGCUUUACACAUGCAAGUCGAACGGUAACAGGCCUUCGGGUGCUGACGAGUGGCGAACGGGUGAGUAAUGCAUCGGAACGUGCCCAGAGGUGGGGGAUAACGCAGCGAAAGCUGUGCUAAUACCGCAUGUGAUCUGAGGAUGAAAGCGGGGGACCAGGCAGCAAUGUUUGGCCUCGCGCCUUUGGAGCGGCCGAUGUCAGAUUAGGUAGUUGGUGGGGUAAAGGCCUACCAAGCCGACGAUCUGUAGCUGGUCUGAGAGGACGACCAGCCACACUGGGAUUGAGACACGGCCCAGACUCCUACGGGAGGCAGCAGUGGGGAAUUUUGGACAAUGGGCGCAAGCCUGAUCCAGCAAUGCCGCGUGCGGGAAGAAGGCCUUCGGGUUGUAAACCGCUUUUGUACGGAACGAAAAGGCUCUGGCUAAUACCUGGGGCUGAUGACGGUACCGUAAGAAUAAGCACCGGCUAACUACGUG